UACGAACCGUCCAAACGUUAUUCGGAAUCACUGGGCUUACAGAGUUCGUAGGCGGUCUGGAAAGUUGGGUGUGAAAUCCCUCGGCCUAACCGAGGAACUGCGCUUGAAACUACCAGACUCGAGGGGGAUAGAGGAAAGCGGAACUGAUGGUGGAGCGGUGAAAUGCGUUGAUAUCAUCAGGAACACCGGUGGCGAAGGCGGCUUUCUGGGUCUUACCUGACGCUGAGGAACGAAAGCCAGGGGAGCGAACGGG
rnacentral:rRNA from 1 species